CGAGUGAAGCGGCAACAGCUCAAAUUUGAAAUCUGGCCUUCUGGUCCGAGUUGUAAUUUGUAGAGGAUGAUUUUGGUUAGGUACCUUCCGAGUUCCUUGGAACAGGACGCCUUAGAGGGUGAGAGCCCCGUACGGUUGGAUGCCGAGCCUUUGUAAAUCUCCUUCGACGAGUCGAGUAGUUUGGGAAUGCUGCUCUAAAUGGGAGGUAAAUUUCUUCUAAAGCUAAAUACCGGCCAGAGACCGAUAGCGCACAAGUAGAGUGAUCGAAAGAUGAAAAGCACUUUGAAAAGAGGGUUAAAUAGUACGUGAAAUUGUUGAAAGGGAAGGAUUUAUGACCAGACCUUUGCCUUGCGGAUCAUCCGGUGUUCUCACCGGUGCACUUCGCUUGGUUGAGGCCAGCAUCAGUUUUGGCGGCGGGAUAAAGACUUCAGGAACGUGACUCCCCCGGGAGUGUUAUAGCCUGCUGUGUAAUACCGCCGCUGGGACUGAGGACCGCGCUUCGGCUAGGAUGCUGGCAUAAUGGUCAUCAAUCACCCGUCUUGAAACACGGACCAAGGAGUCGAACAUUUAUGCGAGUUUUUGGGUGUUAAACCCUCAAGCGUAAUGAAAGUGAACGGAGGUGAGAGCCCUUACGGGUGCAUCAUCGACCGAUCCUGAUGUCUUCGGAUGGAUUUGAGUAAGAGCAUAACUGUUCGGACCCGAAAGAUGGUGAACUAUGCGUGGAUAGGGUGAAGCCAGAGGAAACUCUGGUGGAGGCUCGCAGCGGUUCUGACGUGCAAAUCGAUCGUCAAAUCUGCGCAU
rnacentral:rRNA from 1 species